AUUGAACGCUGGCGGCAUGCUUUACACAUGCAAGUCGAACGGUAACAGGCCGCAAGGUGCUGACGAGUGGCGAACGGGUGAGUAAUGCAUCGGAACGUGCCCAGUCGUGGGGGAUAACGCAGCGAAAGCUGUGCUAAUACCGCAUACGAUCUGUGGAUGAACGCGGGGGACCUUCGGGCCUCGCGCGCUUGGAGCGGCCGAUGUCAGAUUAGGUAGGUGGUGGGGUAAAGGCUCACCAAGCCGACGAUCUGUAGCUGAUCUGAGAGGACGACCAGCCACACUGGGACUGAGACACGGCCCAGACUCCUACGGGAGGCAGCAGUGGGGAAUUUUGGACAAUGGGCGCAAGCCUGAUCCAGCAAUGCCGCGUGCAGGAAGAAGGCCUUCGGGUUGUAAACUGCUUUUGUACGGAGCGAAAAGGCUCCCUCUAAUACAGGGGGCUCAUGACAGUACCGUAAGAAUAAGCACCGGCUAACUACGUGCCAGCCGCCGCCGUAACAC
rnacentral:rRNA from 1 species